UUGUGGGGGGACAGCAGGCAUGAGGGGGAAUGGGGAAACUGAGCAAAGGCGUGGGGCAGCUUGGCUGGGGGCUCCGGGAGGGAGCAGAGGGAAGGGAGGCUCAGCGAUGGGGCUGAUGGGGCCUGGACAUUGGUGGGGAGAUGAAGUAUGAGGGCAGUGGAGAGGCCUGGGGCACGUGGGAGCUUUAGAGGGGCAGGUGUGGGAGAGUAGGGUGGUUUGGGGGCAGGUUGGCUGGGGUAAGGCUGAGUGGAGCUGCCUCUCCAGUCAGGAGCAGCUCAGCUACCAGCAGUGACAAUCCCAGGAGGUGGUAGGUGCUAACUCUUGUGCAACUGCCUCACCAAAUGGGUAUAUUUCAGCCUGCCCUUGGCCAAACUGUGUCUGGUUUAUGAUCACAAAAGGAAAAAAAAAAUCUCAUGGACUGAGCACAUGGCCUCCCAAGCUGUAGUCUUGGCUCUCAGUCUUGGUGUUGAACUUGAUUACAGCUGGAGGAAUUCUAAACAGUCCACUUCUCCUUGUCUUGGUGUUUGAGCGCAUUGUGCUCCUGUCUGAACAGAGGAAAUCACUGAGGUGAUUUCUGUAUGUGGCAAGUUGUCUGUGUCAGCCUGGCAGCUUUGUCCAUAAGCAGCAGUGGUUAUUGUCUCUUGGUUUCCCAACCCCACUGUCCUCAAAGCUGCAGCUCUUCACUGGUUCCACAGACCUGCUUUGUCACAAAGUAUCAGUAACUUUGCAGAAGUCACUGCAUCCUCUGCUGUGGAUCAACCUUGGCACCUCUCUGAAUUAUCUUGGCAGACCUGUCUUUCACAUACUAAGGCAUACCUCGGGUUCGAGUAGAAUCCUGCUCUUACGUCAAGCUCAAGCCUCAUUGCUGCUCCCUGCGUUCAGCUGGAAACCGACGGACACCAUUUAUGACUGAAUAUCCUGAGUCACCGAUUCCCAGCUGGCAUGUGCGCUGCAGUUCCGUCUCUUCCUUUCCGACUGCACUCCCUAGAGGAGAUUGGGAACAAUUGCAGUUGUCAGCUCCAGCGUGGUGCGUGCGCUUGUCAGGAACCACACAAUUGGUGGACAGCCCCUGACUACGUCUAUGGGGUGAGCUGCCUGUGAUUUGUUACUGUAAGCCUGAUGUUUCCAUACUGGAAAAUAGAACAGGUGUAGGCAUAUUAAAAUAAAUCAGUUUCUUUAUAUUUACUAGUAAAAUAUCUACGUUGUGGAGAUGGUGAUAGAAUGUCUUCAUUAAAUAAUUGGUGAAGGCCGGUCUCACAGUAAGAUAAAUUGUGUGAAAGUGGAUGAAAACUAAGAAUCUAGAGAGGUGAUGAAAGGUGAAGUAGUUACUCCCUACACUGGCAAAGCUCUGCUAGCAGGAACAUGGGUCCACCAUGCAGGAGCCAACAGGUUACCUGUCAGCCACUCUCGUCGUGCUGUGUUUGUUAUCGUGCUUGUGCAGCAUCCCAAAGAAAGGCUGCUGAAGCUCAGCAGGGAAAUAAUGCAACAUGUUGCUUUGUUAUUUGAUCUGACCAAAACAUUUUCACCAUGCAAUGCUUGAUGCUAGUGUUGUUCGUGGCUCUGGGGGAAGCUGAAACACAAAGCACUUCAUUGAGCUUUUUGAUCCAACAGGUCUUGACAUAUUGCUGCUGGACAUGUCUCUGUGUCUGAUCUGAACUGCGACAGUUCCAUUCUGUCCUGCUAAAAUAACAACAUAUUAAACAAUACUUUCUGUCCGUGCUGUUUCCACCUAUUGACUAAAAAGUUAAAUUCUUACUAAGCUAGUUUUAAUUUUCAUGUCAUAAAAUAUUAGUUAAUGGUCAGCUGAUUUCCCUGGCAUGAAGAUUGUAAAGUAUAUAACACAGAUUAAUGCUUGCCUGGGACCAAAUGAGUUGAAGCAGCUCCUUCUGCUGAAACACAGAGAUGAAAUACAGUGAAAUACAGAGAUGCUCUGCAAAUCAAAUCUUUGUUUACAACAGGUCACCAGUGUUUGCCUGGGACAGUCCAUCCUGUUAGCAGGCACUGAUCCUGCUAUGGAGGAGAUAUGUGGCUUGUGCUGACUCACGAAAGCAGGUGCAAGUUGCAUCAGUGAAAUAAGAAGUGUCUCACCUUAGAAGCGGGAUGUAGGUUUUGGUGUAAGAACUGUUAAAGAACCACCUUUAGAAAAAAGGUGGAGGGGAAAAUAUAUGAGAGACUCUGAAGCCUGACUUGAUGAAA